rnacentral:misc_RNA from 1 species
GUACCUUCAAGCUCUGCUUGGUGUUGGGUGUUUGUCUCGCCUCUGCGUGUAGACUCGCCUCAAAACAAUUGGCAGCCGGCGUAUUGAUUUCGGAGCGCAGUACAUCUCGCGCUUUGCACUCAUAACGACGACGUCCAAAAGUACAUUUUUACAC